rnacentral:tRNA from 1 species
AANNUAUCCCCAUACCCUCGGGGGAGAUGACCCGUUUAGGACCGGUCAUCUGGCCUUUCUUCCUCUCUUGGAAAGAACAUACCGCACAUCUUCCAAUGUACAGUGCACAACCCAAAGAUCUGCACUGCCCUCUGCCCACACCACGGACCCGCCGCGGCUCCCCCACCCCACCGUCUGGUGGAGCUGACCGGUCUCGAACCGGUGACCCCCGGCUUGCAAAACCGGUGCUCUCCCAACUGACCUACAGCCCCAUGUGGUGGGCCCAAGUGGACUCGAACCACUGACCUCACGAUUAUCAGUCGUGUGCUCUAGCCAGCUGAGCUAUGGGCCCAAGUCGCUACCGAGUGGCGUGUGUGGGGUCUAGUACCCGUUCUCUUUAAAGGAGGUGAUCCAGCCGCAGGUUCCCCUACGGCUACCUUGGAACCACUUCACCCGCAGGUUCCCCUACUGCUACCUUGUGACUACUUCAUCACAGCUCAGGCAGGUUCUUUAAGGUAAGGAGGUGAUCCAACCGCANGUUCCCCUACGGUUACCUUGUUACGACUUCANUC